GCUCUGAGACCAUUUCUGAGGCUGGAGACAUAAGCCUCUCCUUUCCAUCAUGAUGAAGUGGUGUGGAAGGUACGAGAACAGCCUAGCAACUGUGGAACAUUUCCUGACCCAGUCAUCAAUGUGAGAACAGCCUGCUGUCUCAUUGGGAUUGGUAGCAAUGGCUGUCACUUCUAGAGCUUCCACAUCAUCUGGGAACUGUGAUGGAAGAUUCCUGGGGAAAAGAACGGCUCAUUGCUUUUCCAGCCAGGGAAUUCAGGGAGGGGAAAUGGCCACUGUUCAGCCACUCACAGCCUGUCUCUGAAGGCCAAGGAGGCAGCCUCGCCCCCAAAUUCUCCAACGCAGGACCAGCAGAAGAAAGGCGUUAGCAUAAAAUGGAGAGAGAGCAUCGAAUAUACCUCACAUUAGCAGACAAUAUUGCCUUGAUUGCAGACAACACACAUGAAUUGAAUUGAUAAAGGAAUCUUCCCAUCAAAGCCAGAAAUGAGUGGAAAUUAACUUUAACAAAGUAAGCAACUGGAGAGACAGGCAGAAGAAACCCACCGCAUACUUUGUGCCUGUCGGAGAUGCACAGGAGCAAAGUGUUCAGGCCCAUCAGUGAGUGCAAGGAAACCUUCCUCCACCAGGACACCAUGCACAUGGAGCCUGCAUGGAGCUGAGAGAUGAUAUAGAGCAGAAAUGAUCCCAGCUGAGACUCGUUUGGACUGGCAGCUCCCAGAGAACCCAUCUCCCAUAUUCGCAGAUGAUCAACAAGCCCAGAAGAUACCAGCCAAGCCUGGUCCAGAUCAGCAGAACUACCCAGCCUGACCAUGGAUCAAUGACAAUUUAUAAAUGCUCCUUGAUUUAAGCCACUAAAAUAUGUUAUUCAGCAUUAAAAUGAAUACAAAGUCCUUCAAGCAUCCAAGCCACUGGCCCUGUCCCUUACCAUCUUCAAGCCUCAGUUUUCUCCUCUGCAAAUGAAUAUAACCAAAGCUGCUGCCUCCACUGUUGCUGGGAUGCUCACAUAGUCAAAAUAGGUGACUUUUAGUUGUUACCUGUUUGGGCAGGUGAAUGCUCCUUGUUAAUUGCAAAUCACCAGAGAAAACCCCCAGGCCAUUCUGUCCCAAAAAGGUAUGCAGGGCUGGGGGUGAUGAGGAGUGGAAGAAGAAGGAGAAGCUGGAAAGGCUGCUGGUAUGAGGGAGACAGAAAGACUGGAGGCAGAAAGCACAGCAGAACCAAUGUGCAGGUCCUGAGACGCGCAGAGGACGCCGAAUCACCCCGCUGCAGACAGGCAGGUCUGCCCACGCCCUACCGAGGUCCCGAGUCGCACAGAACAUGCUGAAUCAGCCUGCUGCAGACAGGCAGGUCUGUGCACGCCCUACCGAGGUCCUGAGUCAUGCGGAAGAUGCUGAAUCACCCUGCUGCUGACAGGCAGCCGCCUGGUUCCACACUGCAAAGACACAGAGGACACCAGACCACCAGACCAAGUUCUCUUUCAUGGAAAUGCUGCAAGAAGGGGCCGAGACAUGGACCCUUUCCUCUACUCUACUAACGCUAGAAAUAAGAAGUAUGAGUGUUUCCAACACAAAUAUCUCCUUUUAGCCCAUGAAGUAUUAUCUUGGGUACUUUGAUGAAAAUAGGAACAGGGCCACACAGCCUUGGAAUCUCUCAUCCUCCGCAGCAGGCAAGUCAUUUCCUGGUAUGCAAAUCCUGAGGCCAUAACACAGUGAGGACCCGCAGUAAAUCAAAGCUUCUGAUAUGAUAUGUUUCCAUAUGCGGUUAAUGAAAAUCAGGAGGAAAACUUCCUUUCUCAUGGAGGAAGAGAAAUCAAGAAGAUGAGAGCGAGAGGUCACAGCUGUUAUCGGAACCAUGUGGCAGGCCAGCUUUCUGUAAGAAACCAGUGCCCAGUGCUUAUUCCAGGAAAAUCCACAUCUCACCACUGAUGGCCUUUAUUUAUAAGGGUCUUAGUCCCUGGGAAGCAGAAGAGUUUGGAAGAGAAGGUGUUUUCUUUAGUGAGAUGCAGUUUUGCUCGUGU
ensembl:lncRNA